UACAGAGGGUGCAAGCGUUAAUCGGAUUUACUGGGCGUAAAGCGUGCGUAGGCGGUUCAGUAUGUCGGUCGUGAAAUCCCCGGGCUUAACCUGGGAACUGCGGCCGAAACUGCUGGGCUUGAGUGUGGUAGAGGAAGGUGGAAUUCCAGGUGUAGCGGUGAAAUGCGUAGAUAUCUGGAGGAACACCGGUGGCGAAGGCGGCGAUCUGGCCCAACACUGACACUGAGACCCGAAAGCGCGGGGAUCAAACAGG
rnacentral:rRNA from 1 species